rnacentral:lncRNA from 1 species
ACUUAUAGAUACAGAGUGAGAAUGGGCAGAAAGAUGGCUAAUCCAACACCUAAUCAGAAGUAGCAGCUGUCGGCGAUGUCGUACACUGUGGAGCAACUCGUCGUCGUCAACCCUUACAACCCGAACAUCCUUCUAGAUCUCGAAAACUAUGUGAAUGAACAAGUCUCUCCUUAAACGUAUAGUUUGAGUGAAAAUCUUUUCCUUCUUCGUCUCUAUUAGUUCGAGCCAGACAUAAUGAGUACUCAAAUUGUUGCCCGUAUUUUGAUCAAGGCUUUAAUGGCAAUGUCGGCACCAAAUUUCAGCCUUUGUCUCUUUUUAAUUCCUGAAAGAGUGAAAAUGGAAGAAUAGUUUAAGGCACUCAUUGUUCUCUCACACUACUUGGAGAUAGCAAGGUUCUCCCAAUUUUGGGACGAAGUAGCUAAGAGUCGCCACAUGUUAGAUGCUGUACCAGGGUUUGAACAAGCAGUUCAGGCAUAUGCAAUUCAUGUACUUUCACUGAUUUACCAGAGGAUUCGGGAUUUUGAGAACUAUUCUUGUCGAGGCCAUCAACGUUGAAGGCCGUCUCUUGACAAGUUCAUCGACCACCAUGUAUCCAACUCAGAUUGGACUAUAGAGAAGAGUCAGGAUAAGGGCCAACUCAUUAUUCUCCCAUGAAAUGAAUUCAAGCCGGAAAAUUAGCUCGUGGAUUGUCACUUUUUUG